AUGGCCUUGUGGGCCAGGGGAUGGGUGGACAGGCCUGCCCGCAGAGGAGAGGCUGCUGAGCCAGGGGCAGGGGAGCGGCCGAGCACAUCCGGGGAGGAGAAUGCGCAGGGCGGCUGCGGGGCGAGGCACGGGGUGUGGAGGCUGGGUCCCCAGCUGCGCCCACUCAGGUUGACGUCAGCAGAGUCGUUUGUGGGCGCUCGCCCGAGCAGGGCACGCGACUGGCCACCAGGCUCUGCACGGUGCCGGGAGCAGCUAGGGGAGGCAGCCUGUGUCCACUGGGGCCAGGGCGGCCUGUCCCCGCCACGUGCCCUGCCCGUCCUCCAGCGUGAGGCCAGGGUCUCCAGGCCCCCUGCCUGCCCCUCCUCCGGGGUAUCCUGCUCUCCCCGUCAGUCUCUUUCCCAGCUUGUCCCCCAGCAGCCUGGGGGUGGGAGGGCCUGCCGGGAGAGGCCUGCAGGGCCUGCACGCCCACAGUGCACACCUGUGCACGGACACGCCACUGCUGCUCACGCUGCUCCACCCGGGUCCCUGGGGCACCAUCAGGGUACCGGAUCCCGGGCUCUGACAAGACCCAGGUCUGCCCCCAGCGGGGCUGAGCUCAGGGGCCCGAGGCCUGGAGGUGCCGCGGGGUGUCCACAGAGGAUGUGGCACCUGCUGGCACCCAGCCCACGCCGUGCUCCGGGACCUCGUACCCUUCCCGCCCCUCUGGUCCACGGAGUCGGGACCAUGGGCACCCUUCCUGGCGGGACUGGAUGGGCCAUGGCGUCAUGCCACUCGCUGCCUCAGGCCCCCCAAGAAGGGGGAAAAGGCCUGAGACGCCCCCAGUGCCUGCAGGUGGCAAGAAGCCCCAUCCUGAGCCAGCUUGUCCGGGCCCUGGCCUGCCUGCCCCUCUCCCAGUGGCUCCCCACGCUCUCCUGGCUCCCACAGUCAUGUCCAGCUGGGCCAGGCCUCCAGACGGGCAGUAGGGCUGGUGGCUGCCUUCUGCCACCACGGCCCCUGCUGGCGCUGGGGGGUCUCUCUGAAGGAGGGGCGGCUUCUGGGGGGUCCCUGAGAACCAGGGUCCCUGACACCCUCUCUGGUAGAGCCCAGCCUGAGCGCCCACUGUGCCCUGCCCACUGGCAGCCCCACAAACGCUGCUCCCACGGCUCAGCACUGGGCGAGGUGCAGACCAACCCUCCCUGUCUUCCCGCCCCAGGCCGAUGCCCUCCUUCUGUUCAGCGCUCGCCCUCCCUGAACCCUUCUGCUGUCUCCACACCCUGGUCCUCCAUCUGUUCCUUGGCGGGCUGGAGCGCUGGCCAAGUGAGGGCCACGAGUCUGGGACCGGGAGAGGGACUCCUGUCCCUUCUGGGCUGA
rnacentral:lncRNA from 1 species